rnacentral:rRNA from 1 species
GAUGAACGCUGGCGGCGUGCCUAAUACAUGCAAGUCGAGCGAACAGAUGAGGAGCUUGCUCCUCUGACGUUAGCGGCGGACGGGUGAGUAACACGUGGAUAACCUACCUAUAAGACUGGGAUAACUUCGGGAAACCGGAGCUAAUACCGGACAAUAUAUUGAACCGCAUGGUUCAAUAGUGAAAGACGGUUUUGCUGUCACUUAUAGAUGGAUCCGCGCCGCAUUAGCUAGUUGGUAAGGUAACGGCUUACCAAGGCAACGAUGCGUAGCCGACCUGAGAGGGUGAUCGGCCACACUGGAACUGAGCCACGGUCCAGACUCCUACGGGAGGCAGCAGUAGGGAAUCUUCCGCAAUGGGCGAAAGCCUGACGGAGCAACGCCGCGUGAGUGAUGAAGGUCUUCGGAUCGUAAAACUCUGUUAUUAGGGAAGAACAAAUGUGUAAGUAACUAUGCACGUCUUGACGGUACCUAAUCAGAAAGCCACGGCUAACUACGUG